ACGAAGCGAUCUAGCGGAAGUUUUCGGAUGGAAGUUAAAUUGACUGAGUGGCGGACGGGUGAGUAACGCGUGGGUAACCUGCCUCACACUGGGGGACAACAGUUAGAAAUGACUGCUAAUACCGCAUAAGCGCACAGGACCGCAUGGCCCGGUGUGAAAAACUCCGGUGGUGUGAGAUGGACCCGCGUUUGAUUAGCUAGUUGGUGGGGUAACGGCCUACCAAGGCGACGAUCAAUAGCCGACCUGAGAGGGUGACCGGCCACAUUGGGACUGAGACACGGCCCAAACUCCUACGGGAGGCAGCAGUGGGGAAUAUUGCACAAUGGGGGAAACCCUGAUGCAGCGACGCCGCGUGAGUGAAGAAGUAUUUCGGUAUGUAAAGCUCUAUCAGCAGGGAAGAAAAUGACGGUACCUGACUAAGAAGCCCCGGCUAACUACGUGCCAGCAGCCGCGGUAAUACGUAGGGGGCAAGCGUUAUCCGGAUUUACUGGGUGUAAAGGGAGCGUAGACGGUAAAGCAAGUCUGAAGUGAAAGCCCGGGGCUCAACUCCGGGACUGCUUUGGAAACUGUUUAACUAGAGUGCUGGAGAGGUAAGCGGAAUUCCUAGUGUAGCGGUGAAAUGCGUAGAUAUUAGGAGGAACACCAGUGGCGAAGGCGGCUUACUGGACAGUAACUGACGUUGAGGCUCGAA
rnacentral:rRNA from 1 species